GUAAAAUAUGAUGGAAGGAUAACAUGUUUUGUCCAAUCUAGAGUCUUAUGUGCAUUUUGGGCAUUUGUGUAAGAUGAUGGUGUCACUCUGCUGGUACUGUUUUGCUCACAUUUCAAACCUUGAAAGUCUGUUCUGCCCUUCUUAUAGCAGGGGGGUUUACUUUUUUUCUUCUGUCUCUGCAAUAGCUCUUCUGGGGUGUGAGGGAGAACUGGUUGGAAUUAAACUUUUGAGGCAUGGGGAAAGAAAUUCCUGUUAAACUAUGGUUAUUGAAUGGCCACAGGAAACUUUGAGAUAAAUUUUCCUGUUCAACUCAAAAGCUUCAUUCUUUAUAGCUGUGAGAAAUCAUGGGAUUUGCUUUUUAGCGCUGUAAGGCACACAAAUUAAUAGGUCAUUAAACUACAACAUGGGUAACUUCUAGAUUAUGUAGUAUAAAUAUAAUGAGCUUCUGUAGUUUUGUUAUUUUAGUUCAUAACAUGGUUUCUGUUUUUCCCCCAGAACUUUUAUAUAUAGAACUAUAUAUAACAGCCAGUUGAUAAUCUCUUUUCUGAUGGACUUGCCCAAAAUAUUCUUAUUGUAUUACUGAGUUAACGGCCUUCUUGAGAUUUUGUUGUUGUUUCUCUCAAAUGCAUGCCCAAGAAAUAGUGUAUUUUCCUGAAAAAGGCUGGUAUCUUCAUAAAUCUGACGGACAGUUGAAAAAUCUUCAACAAAAAGUGGUUACAGAUGUUGGUCUUCCAAGCAGAAGAAUCUUCAAUGGAACGUGUGUCCAGUAUAAGAAAGGUAUAUUAAAAAAUAAAAGUCAAAGGGAGGAAUUGAUAGUUUGCAAAGUGAACUCUUUUAAUACAAUUACAAUGGCAUCAGCUCCUGGACCAGAAGAGCGUAGGUCCACUACUAAGGGGGCCGGAAUGGGGACUGAAGCUGGGAAUGCCUCGCUAUUGCUGUGAUCUCUCCAUGGUGCUGGAAGUCUCAAGACUACAAGGCCCACAGGGAAAAAUGUUUCCAAUUUCCAUUUCCUGCCUGUUUGAAUUAGGUUAAAGAAAACAUCAAGAAAACAAUGCUUCAAAUUAUUUUUAAUAAACGUAGAUUGGUGUAGUUCCCUUACUUUCA
rnacentral:lncRNA from 1 species